GGUUGUGGCUCAGUGGUACAGUGCUUGCCUAGCAUGUGUGAGGCCCUGGGUUCGAUCCUCAGCACCA
rnacentral:tRNA from 1 species